rnacentral:rRNA from 1 species
UUCCUACGGGGGGCAGCAGUGGGGAAUAUUGCACAAUGGGGGGAACCCUGAUGCAGCGACGCCGCGUGAAGGAAGAAGUAUUUCGGUAUGUAAACUUCUAUCAGCAGGGAAGAAAAAGGACGGUACCUGACUAAGAAGCCCCGGCUAACUACGUGCCAGCAGCCGCGGUAAUACGUAGGGGGCAAGCGUUAUCCGGAUUUACUGGGUGUAAAGGGAGCGUAGACGGCCAGACAAGUCAGAAGUGAAAGCCCAGGGCUCAACCCUGGGACUGCUUUUGAAACUGCCGGGCUGGAGUGCAGGAGAGG